ACUUAGUGGCGGACGGGUGAGUAACGCGUGGGUAACCUGCCUCACACAGGGGGAUAACAGUUGGAAACGACCGCUAAUACCGCAUAACCCGCCGGUGCCGCAUGGCACUGACGGAAAAGAUUUUAUCGGUGUGAGAUGGACCCGCGUCUGAUUAGCCAGUUGGCAGGGUAACGGCCUACCAAAGCGACGAUCAGUAGCCGGCCUGAGAGGGUGAACGGCCACAUUGGGACUGAGACACGGCCCAAACUCCUACGGGAGGCAGCAG
rnacentral:rRNA from 1 species